rnacentral:tRNA from 1 species
UCAAAGAUAGUUUAACAAAAAUUUUAAUUUUGGAGAUUGAGGAUGAAAAAUAAUUUCUCUUUGAA